rnacentral:misc_RNA from 1 species
GAUGAAGAACGUAGCAAAAUGCGAUAAGUAAUGUGAAUUGCAGAAUUCAGUGAAUCAUCGAAUCUUUGAACGCACAUUGCGCCCGCUGGUAUUCCGGCGGGCAUGCCUGUUCGAGCGUCAUUUCAACCCUCAAGCCCCCGGGUUUGGUGUUGGGGAUCGGCUCUGCCCUUCUGGGCGGUGCCGCCCCCGAAAUACAUUGGCGGUCUCGCUGCAGCCUCCAUUGCGUAGUAGCUAACACCUCGCAACUGGAACGCGGCGCGGCCAUGCCGUAAAACCCCAACUUCUGAAUGUUGACCUCGGAUCAGGUAGGAAUACCCGCUGAACUAAAGCAUAUCAAUAAGCGGAGGA